rnacentral:rRNA from 1 species
GGACGAACGCUGGCGGCGUGCUUAACACAUGCAAGUCGAGCGGUAAGGCCCUUCGGGGUACACGAGCGGCGAACGGGUGAGUAACACGUGGGUGAUCUGCCUCGCACUCUGGGAUAAGCCUGGGAAACUGGGUCUAAUACCGGAUAUGACCAGGGAAUGCAUGUUCUCUGGUGGAAAGGUUUACUGGUGCGAGAUGGGCCCGCGGCCUAUCAGCUUGUUGGUGGGGUAACGGCCUACCAAGGCGACGACGGGUAGCCGACCUGAGAGGGUGACCGGCCACACUGGGACUGAGACACGGCCCAGACUCCUACGGGAGGCAGCAGUGGGGAAUAUUGCACAAUGGGCGAAAGCCUGAUGCAGCGACGCCGCGUGAGGGAUGACGGCCUUCGGGUUGUAAACCUCUUUCGACAGGGACGAAGCGCAAGUGACGGUACCUGUAGAAGAAGCACCGGCCAACUACGU